rnacentral:lncRNA from 1 species
AUGCGCGCGGAGGUCGGAGGCGAACAGCACGCAAGGCGAAUGUAUCUCCCUGGCUACAGAUGGCGCCACGGGCUUCGGCGCCCCAUCUUCGGUUCUUCUCCCCCCAUUCCGCCGUCCUCAUCGCCCUUAGUUUAUCUCGAUCAAUUGUGCACGUUUUAUAUCCGUCCCGCGAUUGCAAGUGUAUACAGUUUCUUUAAUCGUCUUACUUCAUCGUUGCUGCUUUAUUACGUCGUUUGUUUUACCCAUGUAGAUCGAGGAAUAAAGGAAGAUGAUAGAAAUGGAACAAAGUGGCGAUGCCCUGUACCUUACUUGCUCUCCAUCGAGAUGACUGUUGAAUCGAUUAAGGUAUCAAAUUCUCCACAAUCGAAGCUAUGCUAUCACCGCUGGUUUCUGCCGUCUACAUUCGACAAUUCGCCACGUGAGGUACGAACUCGGGAUGGACCACCAGAGGCUCAUCCAGAAGAUCAUCAUCGUCGCACGUACGUAUGUCGGCACGCAUCGACUCGCUAAACGUGCGUCCAAUUACCGACGAGACCGCCGUGUAAUACGAGCUUUAAUGUCCACAGGCGGCGGCUUAUUAGCCACGUGAGCGAGGAGAAGCAGCGACGAGAGAGAGAGAGAGAGAGAGAGAGAGCUUCCAUGCUUGCGGAGGCGACGCGGCGGACAGACGAAGAAGACGAUGACAAGACGAACGAAAAGGGACAAUAAAGUGCGGAAGAGGCGAUAUCCCGAGGGAGGUAAGAUCGGUCUCGGCCAAAGGGCGGAAGGAAAAAAAGCAAGCAGGUAUCCAUGUGGCGAAGGUCAGCUACACCACCAUCGACAGAUCUAUGGAGCCGCUACCAGUUUUUCUCGUCGUGACGGUCUCGAUCUGACGCGAUCUCGCUCGAGCCUGGUCUCCCGUCUUCGACUUCCGCUCGCGAAUGACUUCCCGGGAGCGAGAAACGCCCGCGAUCUGUACCGCUGAUCUCUCGGCGAAGUUUUUAACUCGCGCGGCUUUCCGAGUGCGAGUCGAGUGCCGCGCUCGUUUAUCGCGUAAUAAAUUACGCGCGCGUGAAGCGGCGACCACGUGCGCUCGCGCGAUGCAUGCGCGCUUCUCGCGCCGAAGUGCGCGCGAUCACAACCGCGUCACAUUCCACGAGCGAAAUAAUCGAUCACAACGAUGAUCGCUGGGAUUACUGCUAUAGAGAUCGCCGCGUAUUCGCGCGAGGAUUCGCGGCGAGAUUUUUUUUUUUAUUAAAUUUCCAAGCGAGUCGCACUUCCGCCUCGGAAGUAAUUGGUUCGGUAUGUUCGAUCGAUGUCCAUUGCACGUUAAAGUCGUCGGAAUUGACUAACCAUACUGCAGAUAUAUCACCGAUCAUCAAUCUUAAAAUAACUUUCGAAAUGUUCAAUGUGUAUAAAUUUUUCGCGUGUGUUCAGACGCUAUUUUUCAACAAACUAAUUAAUAUUUUCACACGUGCGCAACUUUUUACCAGAAAUCAUAAAAAAAUUCUCUUGAUAAUAUUAAAUUAUUUUGUAGUAGACCUUGAAUGAAGAGAACGUUUAUUAAAGAUCAUCUGAAAUCUUGCAAAUCACACCUGUUUACGCAUACAUGGAGAAAAUUUUAUAUCAUUUUAUUAAAAUUACUAUGUAGCUAACGGACCAUGAGAAAAAAUUUCGGAGAAUUAUACUAUAAGUACUGUAAAUGCUAUGAUAAUUUGAUAAAAAACAAAAUCUUUAUAACUCCUUCUUUGGUCUGCAAAGAACUGGAAUUUCUAAGCCAUUUGAUUAAUUUUAGCAAAUUACAAAGCGGCUUGUAUUCCGCACAUGUAAAGUUUGCUUUUUUAAUAUAUUGUAAAACUUUACAUAACGUAUUAAUUUCUAAAAAUAAAUUAUCCUAAAUUAUUCGUUUUUGUUCAAAUUUUUGUUGAAAUUGUCGGCGAGACGAGUAACUCGUAUUUUCCUUUAAAAGUGCCGUUACGUUCGUUGAAUAUACUCCAAGAAUAUAUUUAAUUCAAAUAGAUUCUGCAUACACACACGUAUACGUAUUACUAUUAUAUUGCGACAAAUAGAAAUUGUAACUGUGAACUACGCGAAUCGCUUUGUGCCCUGCAUGUUUAUGCGACACAGGUGCGUAAUGUGGUCUCAUCAGUGUAACAUAUGUCAAAUCGCUUCUUCUAGCUGGCCGAUUUAUCGAUCUACUUAUCGCGUUCGCCGCCGUUGUCCGCCGGUAAGCAACCGGUGCGCACAACGAUACGCCAUCACGAUACGGUAUUUACGGUCGGCGAUCGGCUUUGUAUACCUGGCGUGGUUGAUUUUCAUCGUGCUAAUCGCGCACGACGAAAUAACCCAGCGAAUUGCUGAAUAUUUAACGCUCCACAAAUCACGCGACGUAUUGCCAUUUGCAUACGUCCCGAUAAGCUCCCGGUGCCUGUGAUAUACUACCCGCGUUAAAACAUCAUGUGUUACCGACCUGUUAUCCUGAGAAUUAGUAACCUGCCGACUAGUCGGCCUGCGCGCGUACUCAUAAAUCGCGCGCUUAAUUAAUUGAGCGGACACACCG